AAAAAAUAAAGAAAGAUGUAACAUCUAUACUCACGCUCCUUAUAGUGACGUGGAAAACACGCUCCAACCUUUACGGGGGUGUUUGCUUGCUACGUAUUGCGUCGUCGCUUUUGUUUUUUUUUUUGGUAUUAUUAUUAUUUAUGUUAUAUUAUCCAUUUGUAUACAAAUAACUCAAUAAAAACCUAAGUAUGAUGAUGACUCACUUAUAGAAUAUUUAGUCGAUGAUGGAGGACAUUUUCAAUAUUUAAACCAU
rnacentral:lncRNA from 1 species